rnacentral:lncRNA from 1 species
CACAAGAAAGCAAAAUCACUUCAAAUGUUUGAGUAAAUGCUUUAAAAGUAUUGUAGUAGGCCAAUUUGCCCAGGCCCAAAAUCACAAAGAAAUAAAAACCAAAAAAUAAUUAAAUGUCCCAAAAUGUCCAGUUACAAACCAAAAAUUAAAAACCCAAAAUUAAGCCUAGCCCAAACCCGAAUCUCCCAAGCCCAGACCUAACCAUCAGCCCAAAUACCCGCAGCCCCAAAAAAAAAUAGAAACCCUAGGCAACAAACUAACAGCCCCGCCGCUCUCCAUGCGCACAGAAGCCCGACUCCUCCUCCCACGAGCCAUUCACCACGCACGUAGCGCCAUCACGAGCCUCCAGCUGGCCUCGUACGGCCUCCCACCCGUAUACCUGCAAGAAGGACACAGCAAACGCAACACAAAAAAAAACAAAAAAAGCAGCGAAUAAAAGAAAAAUAGAUAUUUUUCGUUGUAGUUUUUUGUUUUAUCUUCGGCUAUAAGCCAUUAAAUCAAGAUGGGUAAAAGGGAUAUAGGCACGCAUAUUAUAAAAAAAACCUCAGAUACAGAGAAUACAGAGAUUGUAAAAAAAAUAAUCAAUACAACAAAGAUUUUCUUUCUUUUUUUUUUCCUUUUGGCGAUUCUAUUUUUUUUAACGUUCUUCUCUCUUUUAUUUUUUGUUGUUGUUAUUAAUACAUAUAUAAGCACAUAUAUAUAUAAAAUAAAAGAGAUCGGGGAGGGAGAGUUACCUUGGGGCCGAUCCUGGCUCUCUCUGUCGGCAUCGGAGUAGGGGCUGGGAUCGGAGACGCUCAGAUGCUCCCAAAGCGCAGAACGACGCUGAGAGAGAGUUUUUCUCUCUUUUCUUUAAUUUUUUCUUUUAGG